GGCGCGGCGCGGCGUAAACGUCAUCAAACGGCGACAGCAGAUUUCAAGGGACGUGCUGAAAAUGCUGAGGCUGUCUGUUAUGUUUCCGAUGGGUAUGCUACUUUUCAGGACCAUGGCCUGGACGUCCUCUGGAAUCUCCCACUCUCAGCUAGUCGAGAACCUGAGAAGAAAUGGUGUCAUUCAUUCUGAGCGAGUGUUCAGGACAAUGAUGGCCACAAACCGAGCCCAUUACUCCAAAACCUCUCCCUUCAUCGAUUCUCCACAGAGCAUAGGUUACCAGGCAACCAUCUCUGCACCUCACAUGCAUGCCCAUGCCCUGGAAUGCCUGAAGGAUCAUUUGUAUGAAGGGGCCCGAGCUCUGGACGUGGGAUCAGGGAGUGGCUACCUGGCAGCAUGCAUGGCUCGGAUGGUGGGCCCCUCUGGGCUGGUGGUGGGAGUCGAUCACAUCCGCCAACUGGUGGAACAGUCCAUCAGCAACAUUCGGGCGGAUGACCCGUCCCUGCUGGCCGCAGACAGGCUGAAGCUGAUCGUGGGAGACGGCCGCCUCGGAUACGAGGAGGACGCACCCUACGACGCCAUUCACGUGGGCGCGGCUGCGGCCAUCGUUCCUGAGGAGUUGUUACAACAGCUGAAGCCUGGUGGUCGGCUGGUCAUUCCUGUCGGUGGGAGAGACAGCCGCCAAUUACUGGAGCAGUACGACAAGGCAAUGGAUGGCAACAUCACCCACACACCUCUGAUGGAAGUGAUUUACGUGCCACUGACUGACCGUGAGAGCCAGUGGAGUGGGUAGGUGAACUCUCGGGAGAGGUGCUCCAAUGAAGGUACACAGCAUCGGGUAAGACGUGAACUGUGACAUCCCUACACCUGAUUUUUAGCAAGACAAGGACAACUCGUGUGUUAAACUCAGCCAGUGCCUCACGACAGACUUCUGACUCUCCGUGGAAACGUUGGAACAUGGGCAACAUCUGGGCUGGUGAAGGAUACACGUUUUCCACAUAGCGAAGCAGAUUUAAUGGGAUAAUCUGAAUGUAUUGGUGUGCAGUGUGGAAUCGGGAAUAAAGCACCCUAGACAACUCUGAAACCGAGUGUGUCGU